UACGUAGGGGGCUAGCGUUGUCCGGAAUCAUUGGGCGUAAAGAGCGUGUAGGCGGCUCGGUAAGUCCGCUGUGAAAGUCCAGGGCUCAACGCCUGGAAUGCCAGUGGAAACUGUCGAGCUAGAGUCCGGAAGAGGCGAGUGGAAUUCCUGGUGUAGCGGUGAAAUGCGCAGAUAUCAGGAGGAACACCAAUGGCGAAGGCAGCUCGCUGGGACGGUACUGACGCUGAGACGCGAAAGCGUGGGGAGCAAACAGG
rnacentral:rRNA from 1 species